CAUGUAGGCGGAUUAAUAAGUUUGAAGUGAAAUCCUAUAGCUUAACUAUAGAACUGCUUUGAAAACUGUUAAUCUAGAAUGUGGGAGAGGUAGAUGGAAUUUCCGGUGUAGGGGUAAAAUCCGUAGAGAUCAGAAGGAAUACCGAUUGCGAAGGCGAUCUACUGGAACAUUAUUGACGCUGAGAUGCGAAAGCGUGGGGAGCAAACA
rnacentral:rRNA from 1 species